rnacentral:rRNA from 1 species
AUUGAACGCUGGCGGCAGGCCUAACACAUGCAAGUCGAGCGGAUGAAGGGAGCUUGCUCCUGGAUUCAGCGGCGGACGGGUGAGUAAUGCCUAGGAAUCUGCCUGGUAGUGGGGGAUAACGUCCGGAAACGGGCGCUAAUACCGCAUACGUCCUGAGGGGAAAGUUGGGGGAUCUGCGGACCUCAGCCUAUCGAAGAAGCUAGGGCGGGUUAGCUAGUUGGUGGGGUAAAGGCCUACCAAGGCGACGAUCCGUAACUGGUCUGAGAGGAUGAUCAGUCACACUGGAACUGAGACACGGUCCAGACUCCUACGGGAGGCAGCAGUGGGGAAUAUUGGACAAUGGGCGAAAGCCUGAUCCAGCCAUGCCGCGUGUGUGAAGAAGGUCUUCGGAUUGUAAAGCACUUUAAGUUGGGAGGAAGGGCAGUAAGUUAAUACCUUGCUGUUUUGACGUUACCAACAGAAUAAGCACCGGCUAACUUCGUG